rnacentral:rRNA from 1 species
CCUACGGGCGGCAGCAGUAGGGAAUCUUCCACAAUGGGCGCAAGCCUGAUGGAGCAACACCGCGUGAGUGAAGAAGGGUUUCGGCUCGGAAAGCUCUGUUGUUGGAGAAGAACGUGCGUGAGAGUAACUGUUCACGCAGUGACGGUAUCCAACCAGAAAGUCACGGCUACCUACGUGCAAGCAGCCGCGGUAAUACGUAGGUGGCAAGCGUUAUCCGGAUUUUUUGGGCGUCAAGCGAGCGCAGGCGGUUGCUUAGGUCUGAUGUGAAAGCCUUCGGCUUAACCGAAGAAGUGCAGCGGAAACCGGGCGACGUGAGUGCAGAAGAGGACAGUGGAACUCGAGGUGUAGCGGUGGAAUGCGGAGAUAUAUGGAAGAACACCAGUGGCGAAGGCGGCUGUCUGGUCUGCAACUGACGCUGAGGCUCGAAAGCAUGGGUAGCGAACAGGAUUAGAUACCCGGGUAGUC